rnacentral:rRNA from 1 species
CGUAAUAGCUCACUGGUCGAGUCGGCCUGCGCGGAAGAUGUAACGGGGCUAAACCAUGCACCGAAGCUGCGGCAGCGACACUAUGUGUUGUUGGGUAGGGGAGCGUUCUGUAAGCCUGUGAAGGUGUACUGUGAGGUAUGCUGGAGGUAUCAGAAGUGCGAAUGCUGACAUAAGUAACGAUAAAGCGGGUGAAAAGCCCGCUCGCCGGAAGAC